rnacentral:rRNA from 1 species
UACGUAGGGUGCAAGCGUUGUCCGGAAUUACUGGGCGUAAAGCGUGCGCAGGCGGCUUUGCAAGACAGAUGUGAAAUCCCCGGGCUUAACCUGGGAACUGCAUUUGUGACUGCAAGGCUGGAGUGCGGCAGAGGGGGAUGGAAUUCCAGGUGUAGCGGUGAAAUGCGUAGAUAUCUGGAGGAAUACCGGUGGCGAAGGCGGCAUCCUGGACCGACAUUGACGCUGAUGAGCGAAAGCUAGGGGAGCAAACGGG